CCUACGGGUGGCAGCAGUGGGGAAUAUUCCGCAAUGGGCGAAAGCCUGACGCAGCGACGCCGCGUGAGUGAUGAAGGUCUUCGGAUCGUAAACCUCUGUCAGCAGGGAAGAACGGUCACUGGGCUAAUCAGUAGUGAAUUGACGGUACCUGCAAAGAAAGCACCGGCUAACUCCGUGCCAGCAGCCGCGGUAAUACGGAGGGGGCGAGCGUUAACCGGAUUUACUGGGCGUAAAGCGCUCGUAGGCGGUAUGUCAAGUCAGGGGUGAAAUCCCCGGGCUCAACGUGGGAACUGCCUUUGAAACUGGCAAACUGGAGUGUGUGAGAGGAUAGUGGAAUUCCAGGUGUAGGAGUGAAAUCCGUAGAUAUCUGGAGGAACAUCAGUGGCGAAGGCGACUAUCUGGCACAUAACUGACGCUGAGGUGCGAAAGCGUGGGUAGCAAACAGGAUUAGAUACCCGGGUAGUC
rnacentral:rRNA from 1 species